UACGUAGGGUGCGAGCGUUAAUCGGAAUUACUGGGCGUAAAGCGUGCGCAGGCGGUUCGCCAAGUCAGGUGUGAAAUCCCCGAGCUUAACUUGGGAAUGGCAUUGGAAACUGGCGGGCUGGAGUGCGGCAGAGGGGGGUGGAAUUCCACGUGUAGCAGUGAAAUGCGUAGAGAUGUGGAGGAACACCGAUGGCGAAGGCAGCCCCCUGGGCCGACACUGACGCUCAGGCACGAAAGCGUGGGGAGCAAACAGG
rnacentral:rRNA from 1 species